rnacentral:rRNA from 1 species
CGGGACGGGUGAGUAACGCGUGGAUAACCUGCCUCACACUGGGGGAUAACAGUUAGAAAUGGCUGCUAAUACCGCAUAAGCGCACAGUACCGCAUGGUACGGUGUGAAAAACCCAGGUGGUGUGAGAUGGAUCCGCGUCUGAUUAGCCAGUUGGCGGGGUAACGGCCCACCAAAGCGACGAUCAGUAGCCGACCUGAGAGGGUGGCCGGCCACAUUGGGACUGAGACACGGCCCAA